CCUCCGAUAGCUCACUGGUAGAGCAUCCGGUAAGAAUCCUGGAGAUGCUGGUUCGACUCCAGCUCGGAGGG
rnacentral:tRNA from 1 species